UUUGCAGAGGCGACCAUGUGUUGCGUUGCAGCUUCCAGGCGCCUCAAAUACGCCUCAUGUCCAACCAAAAGAUCGUGCAGCUCCUCAAAGGCUAGUGAUGACUCCCUGGCUCGAAUUGGCGCUGUGAUCUCCAGAAAUUCUGGACCUAAACCAUUCAACACAUAAAGGGUUAGGUCAUCAUCCGAAACUGAAUUAUCAAUAAUGGCUGUUUCAUCCGUCAAGGCUUUCACAGCAUAGAGAUAGUCUGUGAUCGACCAAUCGCCGCACUGGAUUAAGGAGUCAAUUCCAGAUGCUUUCUACGCCCUGAUUACGAUGGGUAUGUAGAGGACCCGUUCAAUGUGCUUCCAACUUUCGACUACAGAAUGGUCUAUUUUAAAUAUUUCAGAAGGUGUGCUAAGAUGCGACUCUUGGAACUUGCCAAAGGUGGUUCUUUUUGUUUGAAUAUGUAAUGAAGCAUGCGGACAUGUUGGUAAUGGUAAUGAAGCAUUCGGACAUGCUGGUAAUGCGACUCUCGUCAACUUCCAUAGUAUAGAAUUUUACCUCUUUGGGCUGUUAAAAUUGCUCUGGAUCACUGUUUAUCUUCUCUCCGCUGCCUAUUGAACUUGAGAAAGGGCAUUAGCUUGAGGGUAGAUAAAAUUACUCCAGCAUGCCGAGACCACCAUCUAGAAUUCGAACUUGAAUUCAUGCUGAUCUGGCCAGCUUGUAAUUUAUGUUGAAAGCAUAAAAUU